rnacentral:tRNA from 1 species
CCUCCUUAUAACGAAGUUACACUUACAGAGUGUUCACACAAAUAAUUAAUUACGAAAUACGAGAAGAGAAAGCUACUAGCUGCAACUUAAAGUUCAAAGCUAAUAAGUGUUCUAAUCGAGGCCGCGAGGCUUUUGUCGACGGAAGCAAACGUCUGUUUGUGACCUAGCAAAAACGCAGCAACGAUGAGUAGGGCAGUUAGAAGCGAGAAAUAGGCCUGUAGCUCAGCUGGUUAGAGCGCACCCCUGAUAAGGGUGAGGUCGGCAGUUCAAGUCUGCCCAGGCCUACCAAUAUUUUUUACUCUACGUUAUGUACCUCGUCGUUUAGCAGGCUAAACGUCCUCGAUACAUGUCUUGAUUAAAAAGUAUUGGCUUAUAGAUACACUCAGUAUGGGGCUAUAGCUCAGCUGGGAGAGCGCUUGAUUUGCAUUCAAGAGGUCCGCGGUUCGAUCCCGCGUAGCUCCACCAUACUGAAACACUCUCUUUAAAUAAAACUCUAAAAAAUACACAUUUUACACAAUGUCCUAUUUCUUUAAAAGUCCUUUUAAUGACUCCAUGGCUCUUUUAACAAUUUUGGAAA